rnacentral:rRNA from 1 species
GUAGGGUGCAAGCGUUAAUCGGAAUUACUGGGCGUAAAGCGUGCGCAGGCGGUUAUGCAAGACAGAUGUGAAAUCCCCGGGCUUAACCUGGGAACUGCAUUUGUGACUGCAUAGCUAGAGUGCGGCAGAGGGGGAUGGAAUUCCGCGUGUAGCAGUGAAAUGCGUAGAUAUGCGGAGGAACACCGAUGGCGAAGGCAAUCCCCUGGGCCUGCACUGACGCUCAUGCACGAAAGCGUGGGGAGCAAACAGGAUUAGAUACCCUGGUAGUCCACGCCCUAAACGAUGUCAACUGGUUGUUGGGAGGGUUCCUUCUCAGUAACGUAGCUAACGCGUGAAGUUGACCGCCUGGGGAGUACGGCCGCAAGGUUG